AGUGAACGCUGGCGGUAGGCUUAACACAUGCAAGUCGAACGGCAGCACAGUAAGAGCUUGCUCUUACGGGUGGCGAGUGGCGGACGGGUGAGGAAUACAUCGGAAUCUACUUUUUCGUGGGGGAUAACGUAGGGAAACUUACGCUAAUACCGCAUACGACCUACGGGUGAAAGCAGGGGAUCUUCUGACCUUGCGCGAUUGAAUAAGCCGAUGUCGGAUUAGCUAGUUGGCGGGGUAAAGGCCCACCAAGGCGACGAUCCGUAGCUGGUCUGAGAGGAUGAUCAGCCGCACUGGAGCUGGGACACGGUCCAGACUCCUACGAGAGGGAGCAGUGGGGAAUAUUGGACAGUAGGCGCAAGCCUGAUCCAGCCAUACCGCGUGGGUGAAGGAGGCCUUCGGGUUGUGAAGCCCUUUUGUUGGGAAAGAAAAGCAGCAGGUUAAUACCCCGCUGUUCUGACGGUACCCAAAGAAUAAGCACCGGCUAACUUCGUG
rnacentral:rRNA from 1 species